rnacentral:rRNA from 1 species
GCGCAGGUGCGAAAGCAGAACUUAACGACCCGACAGCCCUUCGUAGAACGGCUGGAGACAUCGGAUAAAAGCUACCCCGGGGAUAACAGGCUAGUCUUCCCCGAGAGUCCAUAUCGACGGGAAGGUUCGGCACCUUAACUUGAUGUUGCAAAUCAGAUCGGGGUGCCUACGAGAGUAAUCUCGUACAAAAACAAAUUGGCUAUAACGGUGAAACCCAUACACUAGCGCUGCCGCCAGAGAUGGAUGGUAGAAUAUACGUAUGGGCAAUACCGUGGGAAGUCGCCAUAGUAUGUGGUUGACCCCGUAGAGACUACACGCCGAUCCCCUGUGCCUAGGUCACAGGGUGAAGAUAUAGUCCGAUCCUACUAGCAAUAGUAGAAAAUGCCGAUAAGCGAUGUCGGCUCGAAUGAGGGUCGGUUCUGGCGCAAGUCAGAACAUUCAAAUUAGCUUAUAACGGUGAACUCCCACCCACGUACCCAGCGUGGAGGACAACACCGUGGGAAGCUGGGUAAGCGAUUGGUAUAAUCCAAAUAUGGAAUUGACCGGUCGUCAGCGUGCAAUAAUGAUAGGUUCACUACUUGGUGAUGCCUGUUUGGAACUGAAUGGCUCGCAUUACCGUUUGCGAAUAGAGCAUGGAGAUAAUCAGAAAGAGUAUCUACUGUGGAAGUACACACAAUUUUCUGGAUUGGUUACUAAAGCCAGUCCGAUGAAAGUAGUGGCACGUCAUCGCAAACAGAAUGUCAUAUACACCAGUUGGCGUGUGUACACAAAGACCAAUUUGGUCUUUGACGAGUUCGCUCGCUUGUUUUACCAGCAUGGUAAAAAAGUUGUACCGCAAAACAUUGGUGAUAUCUUGACCAGUCCAUUGUCUUUGGCUGUAUGGUUCAUGGACGACGGGUACAAGAGGAAUGACUGUAAUGCGUUUCGUAUCAGUACAGAGUCGUUUUCUUUUGAAGAGAACGUGUUAUUGCAAGCAGUGUUGGCAAAGAACUUCGGUAUACAGACCUCCAUACAUAGGAAAGGUAGUUACUGGAAUCUGUACAUACCGCAAAGGUUCUCUAGGGGUUUUGUAUCUCUGAUAAACUCCUAUGUGUUGCCCUCACUUGCUUAUAAACUUACCUUAGCCCCGUAACGACUGGAUCCGCGGACGGUAGAGAACGUCCAAGGUGAAGAUGGCGCGCCUGCGCCAUAAUACGCUGAUCUCCCCAAACGCGGGGAUGAAUAUAUAGUCUAUGCACGUAGUAAUACGUGAGUAACAUGCAUCUUAUCCUGGAGGGGGAGCACCUUCCAAGGGUUUGGCUGUUCGCCAAUUAAAAAGGUACGCGAGCUGGGUUCAGACCGUCGUGAGACAGGUUGGUCUUUAUCUACUGUAGGCGUGGAGAACUUGAGGGAAUUCGACCCUAGUAAGCAAUUGCUACUUCACAGAGAAAUCUGUGAUGACAACGCGGCUUAUAACGGUGAAGCCUUCAUAAGAUUUCAGUUCAAGAAUAGCACCCACUAUCGGUCCGUGUGGGGCGCAAUUCAUUUGAGGACUGAAGUCCUCUUUAAGGUAAUACCGUGGGAAGUCGAUCUAACUAAACUGUUAGAUUUGACCCCGUAACGACUUGUCUAGACAGAAUACUAUCUGUAGAGACAGACUCGCAGGAUAACUGAACUGUAUAUACAGCAGUUCCUGUGGGUAACAUGCCGCCACCUUAGCUCAUCUCGUGUGAGAAAGGUGAAGAUAUAGUCUGCGCUCCUGGAAACAGGGGACAUACGUGACGAGAGGACCGGGUUGAGCGAACCUCUGGUCUACCAGCUUUGACACCAGUUGAAGCGCUGGGUAGCUAAGUUCGUGUUGGAUAAGCGCUGAAAGCAUCUAAGCGCGAAGCCGCACCCAAGAUUAGGUUCAGGUCCCCGGAAGAUGACCGGGUUGAUAGGCUCUAGGUGUAAGUACCGUAAGGUAUUCAGCCGAGGAGUACUAAUAGACCGUUGCCUCUUUAUU